rnacentral:rRNA from 2 species
AGAGUUUGAUCAUGGCUCAGAACGAACGCUGGCGGCAGGCUUAACACAUGCAAGUCGAACGCACCGCAAGGUGAGUGGCAGACGGGUGAGUAACGCGUGGGAACGUGCCCUUCAGUUCGGGAUAACCCAGGGAAACUUGGGCUAAUACCGGAUACGUGCGAGAGCAGAAAGAUUCAUCGCUGAAGGAUCGGCCCGCGUCUGAUUAGCUAGUUGGUAGGGUAAUGGCCUACCAAGGCGACGAUCAGUAGCUGGUCUGAGAGGAUGAUCAGCCACAUUGGGACUGAGACACGGCCCAAACUCCUACGGGAGGCAGCAGUGGGGAAUAUUGGACAAUGGGCGCAAGCCUGAUCCAGCCAUGCCGCGUGAGUGAUGAAGGCCUUAGGGUUGUAAAGCUCUUUCGUCCGGGACGAUAAUGACGGUACCGGAAGAAGAAGCCCCGGCUAACUUCGUGCCAGCAGCCGCGGUAAUACGAAGGGGGCUAGCGUUGUUCGGAAUCACUGGGCGUAAAGGGCGCGUAGGCGGCCUGAUAAGUCGGGGGUGAAAGCCUGUGGCUCAACCACAGAAUUGCCUUCGAUACUGUCGGGCUUGAGACCGGAAGAGGUAAGUGGAACUGCGAGUGUAGAGGUGAAAUUCGUAGAUAUUCGCAAGAACACCAGUGGCGAAGGCGGCUUACUGGUCCGGUUCUGACGCUGAGGCGCGAAAGCGUGGGGAGCAAACAGGAUUAGAUACCCCAGUAGUCC